rnacentral:rRNA from 1 species
AGUGAACGCUGGCGGUAGGCCUAACACAUGCAAGUCGAACGGCAGCACAGUAAGAGCUUGCUCUUACGGGUGGCGAGUGGCGGACGGGUGAGGAAUACAUCGGAAUCUACUUUUUCGUGGGGGAUAACGUAGGGAAACUUACGCUAAUACCGCAUACGACCUACGGGUGAAAGCAGGGGAUCUUCGGACCUUGCGCGAUUGAAUGAGCCGAUGUCGGAUUAGCUAGUUGGCGGGGUAAAGGCCCACCAAGGCGACGAUCCGUAGCUGGUCUGAGAGGAUGAUCAGCCACACUGGAACUGAGACACGGUCCAGGCUCCUACGGGAGGCAGCAGUGGGGAAUAUUGGACAAUGGGCGCAAGCCUGAUCCAGCCAUACCGCGUGGGUGAUGAAGGCCUUCGGGUUGUAAAGCCCUUUUGUUGGGAAAGAAAAGCAGCAGGUUAAUACCCCGCUGUUCUGACGGUACCCAAAGAAUAAGCACCGGCUAACUUCGUG